UACGAAGGGGGCUAGCGUUGCUCGGAAUCACUGGGCGUAAAGCGCACGUAGGCGGAUUGUUAAGUCAGGGGUGAAAUCCUGGAGCUCAACUCCAGAACUGCCUUUGAUACUGGCAAUCUCGAGUUCGGGAGAGGUGAGUGGAACUGCGAGUGUAGAGGUGAAAUUCGUAGAUAUUCGCAAGAACACCAGUGGCGAAGGCGGCUCACUGGCCCGAUACUGACGCUCAGGUGCGAAAGCUAGGGGAGCGAACAGG
rnacentral:rRNA from 1 species